GACGUAGGGCGCGAGCGUUAAUCGGAAUUACUGGGCGUAAAGCGUGCGCAGGCGGCGCGUUAAGACAGGUGUGAAAGCCCCGAGCUUAACUUGGGAAUUGCGCUUGUGACUGGCGUGCUGGAGUGUGGCAGAGGGAGGUGGAAUUCCACGUGUAGCAGUGAAAUGCGUAGAGAUGUGGAGGAACACCGAUGGCGAAGGCAGCCUCCUGGGCCAGCACUGACGCUCCAUGCACGAAAGCGUGGGGAGCAAACAGG
rnacentral:rRNA from 1 species